rnacentral:lncRNA from 1 species
UAGAUUUAGCUGGUGGUGCAGAGAUCCGUGAGCUUGCUUUUACAGGACUUUAAUGAUAUAUAAAAGCAGCACGAGGUGCUCCUGACUGUGGAUUAAUUUGGAGAUGACUUUCUCUGUUGAAGAGUAGCAAGACUCUCGCGAGUUCUUAAAAAUGCACUUGUUUGGUAUGAGAAUGAAAAGCAGUGGCUGAAGAACCAAUCUUCAAUGGGCAAGCCUUCUCUGUGUCUGUUCUAACACGUGCCAUUUGGGAUCCCUUGGAAUCUUCAUGUACAGAACUGGUUGCUGCCUCGUUGAGUCGGUGGGGACAGAAUAGCUCCUGGUUGACAGCAUGGGUUGUGCAGAAGGACGGAUCCUGCAGACAUCAAUAUCUGGCUUUGAGUGGCACAAAGAAAUAAAGGAAUGUGGAUUCAGACCUCACUGGGAUGCUUGGCAAUUCUAAUUCUACCCCAGACUGCAAAUGGACACACAACUGUUGUGACUUUUGUUGAAGAGGAGAAGGAUGGCACAGAAGCUGGAUUCAGAAGCACACAGGUCUGGGGAUGCAGGCUUCGGCCAGCCUGAUGCAAGGAAAGACUGCCAUCUCGUGGUCAGCUCAAUCCUGGCACCUUGGUGAGGGACCAGGCUGCAGAAAACCAGGCUUGGGGAGGAAACGGUGCUGCAAACUGGAUUUCUGCCGGACAGUGUGGAUGCCCUUAGAAAACACCCAGAAAAGAGCUGAGUGCCCCCCAAGGUAGGCUUCAGUGAAUCCUCUGCAGGUGUGUUGUCAUCCCUUGAGCCAAACACAUGCUUCACACACACGCUGCAGGCUGCGUGAAAAUGAGGUAGAAAUGUGGGGAAAACAUAAUCCCAUGGAGAGAACAAAGAGCUGAACACGUAAAUGCCUCCGGCGUGCCUGGCAGAGAGAACACUCAGGCUGAGAGAAGGGACAGUGACUUGUACCAAAGGUAGGCAAGUAGCCUCUGGGGUCUCAAUCAGCAGGGCAUCUGGUCAACCCUUCAGACAAAGUCAGGUCUGAGCAGGCAAG